AUACGGAGGGUGCAAGCGUUAAUCGGAAUUACUGGGCGUAAAGCGUACGUAGGCGGUCCGUUAAGUUAGAUGUGAAAGCCCCGGGCUUAACCUGGGAACUGCAUUUAAAACUGGCGGACUAGAGUUGAGUAGAGGGGAGUGGAAUUUCAGGUGUAGCGGUGAAGUGCGUAGAGAUCUGAAGGAACACCAGUGGCGAAGGCGACUCCCUGGACUCGAACUGACGCUGAGGUACGAAAGCGUGGGUAGCAAACGGGAUUAGAAACCCCAGUAGUCC
rnacentral:rRNA from 1 species